rnacentral:rRNA from 1 species
UACGUAGGCAGCGAGCGUUGUUCGGAGUUACUGGGCGUAAAGAGUGCGUAGGCGGUUUUCUAAGUUUGGUGUGAAAUCUCCCGGCUUAACUGGGAGGGUGCGCCGAAGACUGGAAGGCUUGAGUAUGGGAGAGGUAAGCGGAAUUCCUGGUGUAGCGGUGAAAUGCGUAGAUAUCAGGAGGAACACCUGCGGUGUAGACGGCUUACUGGACCAUAACUGACGCUGAGGCACGAAAAGCGUGGGUAGCAAACAGG